GCCGGGGUGGCGGAAGUGGCAGACGCGCCAGACUUAAAAUCUGGUGGGCUUUUAGCCCGUGCGGGUUCAAGUCCCGCCCCCGGCA
rnacentral:tRNA from 1 species